AGUAGUAUAUAAUAUAUGCUGUUUGGGUCCAUUCCUAUCUGAACACACUUCCGGUUGGGGAGGGGGGGGUGGAGGGGGGUAUCCCUAUUCACAAGAGCCACUUCCUGUUUAUGGUUUAUGACGGGUCAUAAAACCCAUUGUGUAGGGAUGACAGGUGUAAUGCCUGUGGUGGACCUGCAGGGGUCGCUGGGGUGCGGGAUCUGUAUAGGCAGAGGUGUGUAUGUGGGUGUGAUUAGUGUGUGUGUGUGUGUGUGUGUGUGUGUGUGUGUGUGUGUGUGUGUGUGUGUGUGUGUGUGUGUGUGUGUGUGUGUGGUAUGCGAGGCCAGGGCGGCUGGUCUGUAGGGGUGUUAACAGGAAGAUCACAGUGCUGUUGGAAGGACGGCCAGCCGGCAAUGUGGACAGGGGGGCGAGGCCCUUGAUGGCGGAAGUGGGCAUACAGACGAUGUCAUAGAGAGUGUGAGGUGGGACACAGUAGAUUACGUGAAAAGCGCUAUAUAAAUUGAAUCUAUUAUUAUUAUUAACAGAUAUUCUAGUGAUUUUCAUCUAACAUGGUGUAUUUGGAUCAACUUUAUUUUACCAUUAGUAGAUUGUCUGUCUAUGAUGCGUUGAGUGGGCGUAGGCCUGUAGGACCUACGUGUGCGUGGGUCCAGUACCUAUUGGACAGGCGUCUAUGACGUCGGGGCCUUAGGUGUGAAUGUCUACCGAGGGACUGCUAUCAGGCAUAAAUAUACGGGGCCCCGUGAUACGGGAGCGUACGACCUCCGACCCUGACGUUAGACACGCUAUUCUAAGUUAGUAAACGCGUCGUAGCAGUUGGAAGAAAAAAAAACAGCGAUCCGUCCUGCACAACUAUGCCGACUGACUGUAAGUAUUCAUAUGAGUGUAUCAUGAUUAUAUUAUGACUAUGUCUAUGUGAAUCAGCUGUUUAUAUCUGACCGUAGCUGCGAUUACUUCACAGCGAAUUGCGGUGCCGGAGGCGAGAGCGUGAAACAGCAGCAGGGUCCACGUGGAAGUUUGCCUGAUAUUCGGCUCAACAUUCAAAGACCGAUUCUAGCAGACCAGACUAAUGUGCUGACAAGCGGUAGUUUUGUACCUAUCGAGGCCAAUGUCAUUCAGCGAACCCCCGGACCAAAUCGACUGUCCAAGAAGAAUUUGAAAAGAUCGGCGGGGGUAGUGGUGGCUAUACCCUGUACACCACUGGCCAUAGAACAGCUACAAAUUCCUUAUAAAAAGGCUCGCAAGGAUGCCACACAUAAUGGUUUAACUCCGGAGAAUAUUACCCAGGUUAUACAGGCAGUCAUAAAUCCGCAAAUUGCGCCACAUGGAGCGGCAUGGACUGAUCCCAAACACCGUGUGAUCGGGGACGUGGAGGUGUAUGUGCAUGAGUCGCCUACAGAGACCGUCACUGUGCAACCGGAUGGGACUAUACAGCACGCCCAUGGAGAUCCCCAGUGUGCGCCACCACCAGAGCUGACCGCCGACGAUUGGGCUGGUCUUGACGACAUCUCGUCCUGGACUUCAUCGUUGUUGGAACAUAUCGACUUCACUCCUGCGCAGUGGAUCGACUCUCCAGCUACAUCCGUAGAGGCUACCACCAGUGCAGAGCCUGUACAACACCAUCAGCCUGCAGAUCCUGCAUCUGGACCCCUACAAGCCGUUCAAGACCCUAUCACACCCCCGUGCACCGUGAGUCCCAUCGCUCAUGAGGUAGCGGUGCCGAGGCUACCAGCCGGUCCCGCAAUUGCU
ensembl:lncRNA